GGAGUCGGCUAGACAGUCGCUGUGUCACGGUUAGGCCGUCGGCAUGGAGGAAAGUCCGGGCUCCACAGGGCAGGGUGCCAGGUAACGCCUGGGGGGCGCGAGCCUACGGAAAGUGCCACAGAAAAUAUACCGCCCGCGUUCCUCACGGAUCGCUGGUAAGGGUGAAAUGGUGCGGUAAGAGCGCACCGCGCCACUGGCAACAGUGGUGGCAGGGCAAACCCCACUCGGAGCAAGACCAAAUAGGGAAGCGGUCCGGCAUCCUUUCGAGGAUGAUCGGCGAGGCACGGCCCGUGCUGCUUCCGGGUAGGUCGCUUGAGGCAUGCGGUGACGCAUGUCCCAGAUGAAUGGCUGUCCACGACAGAACCCGGCUUACCGGCUGACUUUCGCG
rnacentral:RNase_P_RNA from 1 species